rfam:Bacterium 2013Arg42i strain 2013Ark11 genome assembly, chromosome: I
GGGUCUAUAGCUCAGCUGGUCAGAGCACACGCUUGAUAAGCGUGGGGUCGUUGGUUCAAGUCCAACUAGACCCA